rnacentral:rRNA from 1 species
GAUGAACGCUGGCGGCGUGCCUAAUACAUGCGAGUCGAGCGAACGGACGAGAAGCUUGCUUCUCUGAUGUUAGCGGCGGACGGGUGAGUAACACGUGGAUAACCUACCUAUAAGACUGGGAUAACUUCGGGAAACCGGAGCUAAUACCGGAUGAUAUUUUGAACCGCAUGGUUCAAAAGCGAAAGACGGUCUUGCUGUCACUUAUAGAUGGAUCCGCGCUGCAUUAGCUAGUUGGUAAGGUAACGGCUUACCAAGGCAACGAUGCAUAGCCGACCUGAGAGGGUGAUCGGCCACACUGGAACUGAGACACGGUCCAGACUCCUACGGGAGGCAGCAGUAGGGAAUCUUCCGCAAUGGGCGAAAGCCUGACGGAGCAACGCCGCGUGAGUGAUGAAGGUCUUCGGAUCGUAAAACUCUGUUAUUAGGGAGGAACAUAUGUGUAAGUAACUGUGCACAUCUUGACGGUACCUAAUCAGAAAGCCACGGCUAACUACGUG